GUGGUCCCCCGGCGCACCUACUACUAUAGCCUCAAUGAGGUCAUUGUCUCAGAACAGAGAGUGGGGGAGCGAGGAAAGGGAUGUCUUAUUCAAACAUCAAAAGUUAAAGCAGGUUGGAGCAAGGUGCUACAACACUGGGCGACAAUGGAGCAGUUGUUCUGGGGGAUUAAGUGCCUUGCUCAAGGGCACAACUGCAUUAAAUGGCAUCUAGGAUUUUAUACCCUUUGGUUGCCAGCUCACAUCCCGACAUAUUUCGAGGAGGGAUGCGACACCACUCUUCCACAAGAUCAUUUGGUGUUUUGUUGAUGGUGGUGGAUAACGGUGUCUCAGGCGUCGAUCCAGAAUAUCUCAGAAGUGUUCAAUUGGGUUGAGAUCUGGUGACUGAGACGGCCAUGGCAUAUGUUUAAAUCGUUUUCAUGCUCGCUCAGUGACCACUUGUGCCCUGUGGAUGGGGGCAUUUACAUCCUAUGGGGGCUUAGCCAUGGAAGCCAAAACAAUGGCCUGCACAGACUUUUUACAUAUUACCGUGAGCAUGAUGAAAUGUUAAUUGCUUAAUUAACUCAGGAACCACACCUGUGUGGAAGCAACGUCUUUUACUCUACUUUGUAUCACUCAUUUACUCAACUGUUUCCAUUAUUAGGCUCUGGUCAAAAGUCGUGCAGUCUAGGGAGUAGGGUGACUUUACGGACACAGGCAUAGAGAACAUAGAGUCCCCCCCCCAUCAUGAUGUUCUAGCUCUAGCAAACCCUCUGCCCUCUAUCUCUCUUCCCCAUUAGGCACACAUCCACCAGGCCAAGUCACACACACACACGCACACACACACACACGCACUUUGCUGUCACACAGACCCACUCACCACUGAGAGCCUGCUCUUCAGGCCUCUUAGGGUGAUAAUGUUAUCUGUCCUACUUAAAGUACCAUAUCCUCCUGCUCUCUAUUGAGCUCCCCCCAUUUUCUCCUCCUCUACCUCCUUCUCUUCCUGGAUGUAUGCAAUCUCUCAUGGUGUGUGUGUGUGUGUGUGCGCGUUCGCAUGUUUGUGCAAUCGGUAAAUCUGCUACGGGGCCCCACUGGCUGGUCGGUCCACCUGCUCUGAGGAUCCUCUUUUAGUAUAAAAUGUCUUAUCUGCCUG
ensembl:lncRNA